rnacentral:rRNA from 1 species
AAUGAACGCUGGCGGCAGGCUUAACACAUGCAAGUCGAGCGCCCCGCAAGGGGAGCGGCAGACGGGUGAGUAACACGUGGGAACGUACCUUUUGCUACGGAACAGCUCCAGGAAACUGGAAUUAAUACCGUAUGUGCCCUUCGGGGGAAAGAUUUAUCGGCAAAAGAUCGGCCCGCGUCUGAUUAGCUAGUUGGUGGGGUAAUGGCCUACCAAGGCGACGAUCAGUAGCUGGUCUGAGAGGAUGAUCAGCCACACUGGGACUGAGACACGGUCCAGACUCCUACGGGAGGCAGCAGUGGGGAAUAUUGGACAAUGGGCGCAAGCCUGAUCCAGCCAUGCCGCGUGAGUGAUGAAGGCCUUAGGGUUGUAAAGCUCUUUCGCUAGGGAAGAUAAUGACGGUACCUAGAGAAGAAGCCCCGGCUAACUUCGUGCCAGCAGCCGCCGUAAGAC